CCACCUUCGUCUUCUCCAGACUUAGACCAAAACCUCACAAGCUUCAACGAUUUUUUUGAGCUUCAGCAACCCAAACAACCCCUACUCUCUUCUUCCAUCUUCACAACCCAAAACCCCUCACCUCUAAGACCGGCAACAGACCACCCAUCACGCCGGACAACACACCUCCCUUCACCCAUCGUUGCUUAUACUUCUUCCCGUUUACAACAACCAGCUGGAAACGCACACACUCACGCACGCACAGUAAGAGAAGAGGUACAAAACAGACAAAAAUCAAAAAGGAAGGCUCUAACCUGAAAGUUUUUAUUUGUUUUCUCUGAAUUUUCAGAAUAUAUACAUGUAAGUAGUCUCUGUUUUAGAAGUUAAUUGGAUUGAGCUUAAGCAAAACGAAAACGUCUCAUGUUUCCUCUUUGCGAUUCUGAGUUCUUGGUUUCAAUUUUUGAGUUCGAUUGAGGUUGAGUUGAGUUCGAGUUUGUCGACGAGAUUCGAGUUCCUCCGGCGAAUUCUGAGUUCGUCGAAGAUGCGUUAGUCUGAGAUUUCUGGCAGAUUCGCGGGUCUAUCACGAUGUUAUUGUGGAACUCUGUUCUGCUCCUUCCAGGUACAAUGUUCCUGUGAUCUUCUUCUUUAGAUAUGUGAUGAAUUUGCAUCAUUUUUUUUGGUUUAUAAUGUUGUUAAAUGAAGUAAUUGCGGAAGCUCUGCGUUGUUCCAGUUAGGAGUACAAUCUUCAUUAACUCUAUUUUCUAAUGGCUACUUAAUAAUUUUAAUCUCUAUUUCAGAUUUCUGUUCGUUUUAUUUGUUUUCCUAUCCCUUUACUAUUAUUCUUCUUCCAUGUCAUUUUUGGUUUUAUCAUUUUGUUUUUAAAUAAUUUCAUUAGGAGUAGGAUGGAUUUAAUGGCAUAAUAUUACAAAAGGCAUCUAGUAUUUUUGAUUUUACACUUGAUUUUAGGUUGGUUUAUAGCAAUAAAGUUUGUAUCCUUUGGUAAUAUGGAUAAAGAUGGAAUCCUAGCUGUUAUUUACGAACAACGAUAAAAGACUUUCACAGUUAAUUUAGUAUUGCCAAUUCUAAAAAUAUCAUUGUGAUUGUGUACACGUUCGCGUGACAUAAUAAUGAUUCUAAAAAUAAAUCGAGGUACGCGUCCGCGCAACUUUGGCCAAACUCUCUUAAUAAUUAAUAAAGUGCUAUUAAUUGUGGGCACGCACGCGUGACAUGAUUUUUGAUGUGCCAAACAAAUGGGUACACGUACGCGUGACCCGUUUCAAGAUAAUUUCUUAAUUAAAAGAGGCAAAUUCACAUAGGUUCUAAAAUAAGUAAUUAGACAAUUUGAUUAAGCCAAGUAUGAUCAAAGCGACCGUGCUAAAACCACAGACCCCGGGAAGGCCUAAUAGCUUCUUCCGGGUUAAUAGAAUUCCUUACCCAGAUUUCUGUGUUCGCAGACCAUAAAUAAGAGUCGAUUUCCUCGAUUCAGGAUUUUAAAUCAGUGACUUGGGACACUAUAAAUUAUACCAAGUGGCGAAUCUGAUUUUAAUUUAAAUAAUCCUGUUUCGAUUGUCACUUAAAUUUGACAAAACUCCCUUAUACUCCCUUCCGAGAUAGUAAAAAGGAGGUGCCCCUUCCGGCUCCGUUUAUCCCAUCAGAACUGGUGAAAGAUCCAAAAGAGACAUCGAUCUUGAACCAAGAUCGAACAGAGAUCGGUAUCAACCAAACAAUGAAGAUCGAAGGGGUAAUGGGUCCAGACGCAACACUGUGAGAAGUGAAAGAAGAAGCGAUCGAGGUCAUAAUAACCGGGGACUCAUAAGCAAAAGCAGUUUUGAUAGACCCAUCAGGUCUAAAGAAGAACAAAGGUUAUCAGAGUACAACUUCAACGUUGAUGUUGCCGCCAUCGUAUCAUCUAUCAGACACAUCGAAGGUACUAAGUGGCCUCGACCAUUACAAUCUCAUCCUGCCCAAACGGACCCCAACGUAAUGUGUAAAUAUCAUGGAACUCACGGUCAUAGAACCGAAGACUGCCGACAACUGAGAGAGAAAGUAGCCCAGUUAUUCAAUAACAGAUAUCUCCAAGAGUUACUCAGUUAUCGAGUCAAAAAUUACUUCAGGAAUAGGGACUCCAACAAGCAGAUCAAGCAAGAGGAACCUCAGCACGUCAUUAACAUGAUCAUUGGUUGGGUUGACGUCUCCCGGGGGCCGAUGUUAAAAUGUACUAAAGUGUCCAUUACAAGGAAAAACGAACUCGAGAUUAUGUACCGGAGGGAACCAUAUCUUUCAAUAAUGAGGACAUUGAAGGCAUCGUGCAACCACACAAGAUGCACUAGUAAUAUCUGUACGCGUAAAUAAUCUCGAGUUAAGCUUGUGUUCAUUGAUCCAGGUAGCUUGGCCAAUAUAAUCAGAUCGAGGGUCAUGGAACAGCUGGGUCUAAAAGAACAAAUUAUGCCUGCAGACCUAGUCUUAAACGGAUUUAACAUCGCAUGUGAGAUCACUAAAGGGGAAAUAACUCUGCCGGUAAACACCGCCAGAACAAUUCAGGAAACAAAGUUCCACGUGAUCGAAGGAGAUAUGAGAUACAACUCUCUAUUCGGGAGGCCAUGGAUUCACAACAUGAGGGGGGUACCCAUGACACUACAUCAGGCGUUGAAAUUACCCACAUCGGGAGGGAUUAAAACAGUUUAUGGAGAGCAACCGUCUGCAAAAGAAAUGUUCACGAUAGAUGAGGUGGUUCGGAUAUCCGCACUCUCAACAUCGGAGAACCCGAGUUUGGUCACCAAGGAAGAAACCAAAUAGCAAUCACCGACACCGGCCCCAACCGAACCAGAAAAGAAGGGGACUGGCGAGUAUGAAGAUCACAGAGUCCCCAGGUCUUUCAUAGCCCCUGACAAUUUUGAUGCCACAAAGUCAACGGUUAAGGAGCUGGAGCAAGUUAUAUUGAUCGAGCACCUCCUCGAUCGGAAGGCAUACCUGGGCACAGGGUUAACUCCCGAGCUCAGGAAUAAAAUCAUUGAAUUCCUUAUAGCUAACAUAGAUUGUUUCGCUUGGUCCUAUAUUGACCUGACAGGGAUCCCGCCGAAAAUAAAUACUUACAAGCUGAGCUUGGAUCCGAAGUUUCACUUGGUUAAACAGAAGAGGAGGCCUCAGUCCGAAGUCAAGAAUGCAUGCAUUCAUCAAAGACAAGAUAUCCAAACUCCUUAAAAUAGGUUCCAUUUGGGAAGUUAAGUACCCGGAUUAGUUAGCAAAUGUAGUGGUAGUGCCUAAAAAAGGAAAUAAAUUAAGGAUGUGUGUAGAAUACAAAAAAUUGAACAAGGCAUGCCCUAAGGACUUUUUCUUUGCCUAACAUCGAUCGCAUGAUCGAUGCGAUGGCCAGUCAUGAGAUACUCUGCUUUCUCGAUGCUUAUUCCUAGUACAACCAGAUCCGGAUGGACCCGGGCGACCAAGAAAAGACUUCCUUCAUCACUAAAUAUGGCACCUAUUGUUAUAACGUAAUGCCAUUUAGACUAAAAAGUGCAGGUGCCACUUACUAAUGCCUAGUAAAUCGGAGGUUCGAAGAGAAAAUAGGACAAUAAAUGGAGGUUUACAUUAACGACAUGUUAGUUAAGUCCCUACGAGUAGAGGAACAUUUGAAACAUUUGCAGGAAACCUUCAACAUACUAAAGAAAUACAAUAUGAAGCAGAACCCAGAGAAAUGCGCAUACGGAGUUGGGUUCGAGAAGUUCCUUGGAUUCAUGGUGCCCAACCAGGGAAUCAAGAUCAAUCUCGACAAAAUCAAGGCCAUAGAAGACAUCAUCAUGGUGGACAAUGUUAUGGCCGUUUAGAUGCUAACCGGACGCAUAGCCGACUUAGGUCGGUUCAUUUCAGGUCCUCCGUUAAGAGCCAUCGGUUCUUCUUAUAAUUGAAGAAGAAGAAUACCUUCUCAUGGACCCCGGAGUGCCAGCAUGCUUUGGAAGAACUCUAACGGUACCUUUCGAGUCUGCCUUUAGUUCAUACUCUGAAGGCAAAUGAGCAGUUGUACCUGUACAAGCGGUAUCCAAGAUAGCGGUAAGUGGAGUCUUAGUCCGAAAAGAAGGUACGCAUUCCCCGUAUAUUAUGUUAGCAGGACUCUAGGCGAGGACAAAACCAGGUAUCCUAACCAUGAGAAAUUGGUGCUCGCUUUGCUAAGCGCCUCCAGGAAGUUAAGGCCAUAAUUUCAAUUCCAUCACAUAUGUGUCGUGACACUUACCCAUUGAGGAACAUAAUGCACAAACCCGAGCUAUCGGGAUGAUUGGCUCAAUGGUCCAUGGAAAUUAGUGGGUACGAUAUCGAAUAUCGACCCCGAAUCGCCAUCAAAUCCCAAAUUUUGGCAGAUUUUGCGGCCGACUUCAUGUCAGCCUUAAUACUCGAAGUCGAAAAGGAAUUGUUGUUAACCUCGAGGACCUCCUUGGGAAUUUGGACCCUUUUUACGGACGAUUCCUCGAACGCAAAAGAGUCUGGACUCAGCAUCGUGUUGAAGCCGCCCAAGGAUAACGUAGUUAGGCAAUCUAUUAGCACUGUGAAAUUGAAUAACAAUGAGGCCGAGUAUGACACCAUGAUUGCAGGUUUCGAAUUUCCUAAAAGCUUCGCGGCCGAAUUAAUUGAAGCUAAAUGCGAUUCUCUCCUUGUGGUGAAUCAAGUCAAUGGGACAUUCGAAGUGAAAUAGGUACGAAUGCGAAGAUACUUGGAUGAACUACAGGUAACACUACAUCGAUUCUAGGAGUGGACCCUGCAUCAUGUACCUUGGGAUCAAAGCAGUGAAGCCGAUGAUCUGGCUAACUUGGGGUCGUCGGUUAUGAUGAUCAAUUCAGCUCGGGAAUGAUCAUACAACUCAUGAAAUCAGUAGUGGAAGAAGGCCACAUCGAGAGAAACAACUAUAUAUAUUACCUGAAGACUAGGAAUCUACCCUCGGAUCCUAAAUAAUCGAGAGCUCUAUGCAUGAAGGCGGCCAAGUUUAGCCUAUCUGAAGAUAACACCCUGUUCAAAAGAACGCUCAAUGGCCCACUCACCAUAUGUUUGGGACUAGGAGACACCGAAUAGGUUUCCAGGGAAGUUCACGAAGGCACCCGCAAGAACCAUUCUGGGGCUGAAUUGUUGGUUCGUAAAAUAAUCAGUGUCGGCUAUUACUGGAUCGACAUGGAGAAAUAUGCGAAGGAGUUCGUACGGAAAUGUGACGAUUGUCAUAGGCACGCACCGAUGAUCCAUCAGCCAGGGAGCUGCUGCAUUCGGUCUUGUCACCUUGGCCAUUCAUAAAAUGGGGAAUGGACAUCGUUGGUCUCCUGCCAUGGGCACCCGGUAAGGCUCCAUUUAUAUUAUUUAUGACCGACUAUUUUUUUAAAUGGGUUAAAGCUCAGGAAUUUGAGAAAGUUAGAGAAAAAUAAUUUAUUGAUUUUAUUUGGGACCACAUAAUAUGUUGGUUCGCAAUGUCGGCUGAGAUCAUAUGUGAAAAUGGGAAGAAAUUAAUCAGCAGUAAGGUAAGCAAAUUUUUCGAGGACCAUAAAAUCAAAAUGAUCCUAUCAACACCCUAUCACCCUAGUGGGAACGGGCAGGCGGAGUCUACAAAUAAGACCAUACUCCAAAACCUUAAGAAAAGGUAGCUGAUGCCAAAGGAAAAUAGAAGGAAAUUUUGCCCGAAGUCUUGUGGGCAUAACGUACGACCUCAAAGUCUAGUAUCGGGGCCACCCCUUUUUUGUUGGUCUAAGGCGCCGAAGCAAUAAUACCAACCGAGUAGGAGAACCUAGUUUCAGGUUCCGAUAUGCUACCGAAGAGUCAAAUGGUGAGGCCAUGUGCACGAGCCUGGAACUAUUGGAUGAGAGGCGCGAGGCCGCCCUCGUCCGAUUGGCCGCCCAGAAAUAAUAGAUCGAAAGGCAUUAGAACCGGAGAGCCAACCUCCGACGCUUUAAUAUUGGAGAUUUGGUGUUAAGAAAGGUGACACAGAACCCCCGGAACCCAUACAAAGGGAAGUUGGGAGCGAAUUGGGAAGGUCCAUAUCGAAUUAUCGAGAUUACCGGUAAAGGUUCAUACAAACUCGACGAAUGGGAAUGGUGAGCAGCUACCGAACAACUGGAAUGUAACCCAGUUAAAAUGAUACUACUUCUAAGGUACGACCCCAUUCAUUUUUUUAUUAUUACAUAUAUUGCGAAUUGGACUAACACUUGCAGGCAACAACCAAAUGAUGAUGUAGUUGUUAGGACUGAAAGCACGCGUUGCACUCUUUUUCCCUUGAACUAAUUUUGUCCCAAUUGGGUUUUCCAGCAAGGCUUUUAACGAGGCAACAAUAGAUCGUUCUAACAUAGAAUGAAAGACCGAUUAUGAACCGGAGUCAAUGGUCACAUCAAAAACAUUCGAGCCCUCUCAAUGAUUGACCUCGAAUACUCAGGGCCAUCACCAUCGGGUAAUAAUUUUUAGUAAGAAAGGAAACUUUGUGCUUGAACAGUCUAGGCUCAGUGGAUAGGAUUUAUUGUAAGGGUAAAAUGAUCAAAUGUACCGUGCCUGCAUAGACUACCUAAGUCGUAACACAAAGCUUGUGCACACUUACAAUCUUGUAUAUUACGCACAGGAAUGAAAGAAAGUUCUACCUUGAAGAUACAUAUUUUGUCCCUUAAGACUAUUAUAUUUUGUUCCAUAAGGAUAUCGAGCCCAAGGGCAGCCUAUAUACGGAUCUAAUUGAUCACCCCCACCAAGGACUGUCAUCCAAGACAAGCUCGGAUGGCUCAAGCUAUCGAAGCCCGAAGGUACAAAGCCUAUUAGGCAGUGGCUGAACUUAAAAGGCUACGACCACUCUAAAAAUAGCUCAGAGACGUCCGAAGCCCGUAAUCAAAACAUAAGGCCUUUAAAAUUUAAACCGGUUCAAAGGUUACCCUCGGGAAAAUCAUAGUCUAAAAACAUCUAAAAAAGCACUUUGGGGAAAGCUUCCGGUCAAUUCGAGCCCCCACAAGUUUCAAACAAAACUUACAUCGAGAACAAGUACCGCAUAUCCACCUCGUUUAUUUUGGCCUGGUCUUCUUCGGUUACCAUGCACCAGAGGUAGCUCUCUACUCCAACGGGGGCAGAAAGAACCCAGGCAUCCUCUAAGACGGUGAUGAUUAUUGAUCUCUUACGGCUGGAAUCCAUGCUCGGUGCGGGGAACUGGUUGAUUAAUUUUGGGCUGGAGUUUAGCCCGCCUACCUCUAAAGAUGGGUCUUUCCUCGGCACCUCCAAGUUUCCCAACCAGGAGAAGUCUUUCGGAGCGGUUGAGUCCACACCUUCAAAAAAAGAAUGAAGGGGAACGCCCGCACCAUAGGCCCAUUUGUUGGAUCGCUCCUUCACCGCUCGGCCUUCGUCAAACAUGGAUUUAGUGAAUGAAGACGGCCCCGAAAUCUCUAUGACAUCGGGUGGAAAGGAGCUGACAUCUUAAGAGGUUUCAUCCCUCACCUCUACAUCGACUUCCCGAACCUGAGGGGGAUUAGCCUCCGUUGUUUCCCCCUCAGCUACCACCCACUCUUCAGGGGAGGUCGGCUUACGUGCCACAAAUAUAUCACCUUCCUAGGGCUCAUCCUUGAGCCAGAAAAGCGAUUACGAGUCGGGUGAUCGGGAGCUAGAACUCUUCUUCCGCUUACGGGCCAACCUUCUCUUUAGCUUCUCGUUCUCUGAGCUCGGGAAAUCCAUAGCCUUCAUUUUCUUCUUCUCUCCUACUGCGGCCCUGAGCUACCCCGAAGCGGAGGGAUCAACGGAUAGGUCCUCGUCCCCUACUGAUGGCCUAAGCUUAAUGGUCUUAGGCAAGCUUGCGAAAAGGAAAGAGAGGAAAUGAGAAUAUGAUGCUAAAGGGGGAGCUUAAUGUUACAUAUUCGGGGAAAUAUACCUUACCGUGAGAACGGGCCUCCCAGCGGCCCUUCGAGAGUUCGCGCCACGUGCGCUUAGAAUAAGGCAUCUGUGAACAAAUACCCUCAAUCCACUCCUUGAACCGAGGAAUGGCGUUUGGGACUCUUGCAGUAGCUGCACCACCACAAAUACUAGUGAGGAAAAAGGAGAUGAAAAUAAAAUCGACAUUUAAAGGAAAGAUGUGCUUACGUGAUACAUUCCACUUCUCGGGGAAUGGCAUAAGCUCAGAAGGUAUCAAAUCUACGGUCUUCACCUGACACAACGUCCAUAUCGGCCUCGAUCCAGGUACUCAUCGAUGCUCGAGAAUGGGGCUUUGCUAGCCUGGAGUGUGAGCUUUAUCAGUCCUACUCGAAAGAUUCGGGAACUGUAUAGGCAGAGUAGGUGAUCGAUGGUGCACCGACGGGAUUCAGGCUUAUUCACGAAGUAUCGAAGAAGGAUUAAGAUCCUCCACACCUACGGGUGGAUCUGACCGAGGCAUACGUUAUACCUAUUGUAGAAGUCCAAAAUAACUGGGUCCACUGGGCCCAAUAUGAAUGGAUAAGUGUAAACACUCAGAUACCCUUCCACAUGGGUAGUAAUGGCUUCCUUGGGCCCGGGGACUACUACGUCCUUAUCCACCUAGCCACAGUCCUUUCGAACCACAGGAAGGACGUCUUUGAUAAUAGAGCAACACCAACGAGGGAUUUUUGACCUCACAGUCAUCUGCGACUGAGCAUCCCCUGGGAGCGAACAUUUUCAAGGGAGGCUCAGUAGCCAGUUCAUUGGUAACCGCGCUUGGAGAGGAUCUCUCGAGCACGACCAUAUCAAGAGUGGUCUCCUCGACUUUAGUGGUCAGUUGUGAAGAUGAGGAAGCGACUUUUGGGGAACAGUUUUGGAAGUUUUAGCCAUUGUUGUCUAGAAAAAGUUUGAAAAAUAUGAAGAAAGGUUAGGAGAUGAAAGAUAAAAGCUUUACUGAGAAAAUCAAGUGCGCUAGUUUGGGUAUAAGAUAAGUAAAAGCUUGAAAUUUACUGAGAAAUCUUGAAGAACAGAGGUAAAUAUAUUAGAGUAUGAAGAAGGGCAGUGAUAUUCGGAAGACUCGAAGGUACAAGCUUGGUCAAAAGGUCAAAAAAUAAACGAAGGAGGGGAGUAUUUAUAGAGGCUUCACGCAGUUUCACAUCUAGGGAUGACCUGCAUAUGGUUGACACGCGUUUGAAGUCAUAAUGACACGACUGACGGGACGUUUUAUAUCCUUUUUCGUUUCUGUCAUGGUGUAUUGAAGAAGGAAUAGAAGUACACAUAUCAUUUCUCGAUGUUUCCGUAAACGUACUCUCCGAGAAAUGAUGGGACUAUCUGUAUAAGGGUGAAACCAAGCCGGUGGGAUGCCUCAGUUUUUGAUGAAAUAAACGGAGCAAGAUACAUGACUGUAAGGACCGGAAUCGAGGCAAAGAGCCCCUCGAACGGGGAUCCGUGCAAAACGCCUACCCUUGGAAGUUCAGGGCCACGACCCCAGGUUUGGUUCGAACCCCAAAAACCUCGGAGAGCAUUACCAGAUAAUCAAGCACGACCAACAAAAGGCCACGAUAUCCGUGACCAACCGGAUGUCACGACGCGAAUCUCAGCACGUAUCAAUAAAAAAUCAGUGAUUAGUAAAACGGAUAAUUUUUACUUUUAUGGAAUUGUACUUAGAGUAAAACUCUCCUACUGUAUAAAGAUGGGUCUGAUUAUUUAAUAGGGGCAUUGUAACACGCAUAUCAAGGCAAUAUACUCUUAUUUGCUCUGUUAUUCAAAAUUCUUACUUUUGUUCAUUAGUCCACUAUUAACGUGAGCCGGGAUCGAAGGUAGGCAUUUCAUUAAAGCUGUUACUGAGUCCAGAAUCACUUCCCUUGAUUGGUUUGACAAUUUAUUACGUCAUUUAUCUAUUUAAUCUAACAUAAUUUAUUUUUUUUAUUGAAUUAAUCCGCGUUUCGCUAAAAUCAUUUACAAAUUUAAUUGUUCUCCGUCUUUAAGGGUAAACACUUUCGUCAUUUUAUCUCGUACUAAUUCUACUCGAAAUCAUGCACAAAGUCAUGUAAAAUUUUAUUUUCCUUAUGACCCUGUCAAAAUCCAGCCAAAACCAGAUAUAUAAGACAAAAAUAAGAACAUGCUGAAUUAUGUCGGACAUAUCAAGCUAAAUUCGUGAUGACACCUGACCUCCAUUACAUCAUAAAGAAAUAAAUGUUAAUUCAAUAAUUAAAGUCAACAAUCUUAUGAUAGCGUUGUUAUAAGGGGCGGCUAACUUCCUUUUUAGAUGAAUCAUGAUUUGAUAAUUUAAAGGAUGUUAGUCGAAUAAUUAGCUCAAUAAAACAAAAUAUAAUAGUAAAAUAAUUUUGAAAUCAGAAGUUAAGUAGGAAAGAGCAUUACCCUAUUAUCUUUCUACUGUGACAAAUGUAGUCAUUUCUUGUCGAAAAAAGAAAAACGAAAAAAGAAUGAAGAAUUAAAAGAGGUAGACGUCAUCUCAAGUCAUUGCCAUUGUGUUUUUUAUAUGAGGAUUAUUUAGUCCUAGAUUUUAUAAAUCUAACCAUGUCUUUGGGUUGAUAAUUUUAUAUCUAGUGGGAUAUCAUUAACAGUCUAUCACCGAGGGUUGUGGUGAAGUGAUAAUUAUUUCUCUAUUUUUAAUUAGAGGUUUCGAAUUUCAGUUAUGCCUAUGAACACGUCUUUGUUAGGAAGUAUUUUACCCCUCAUACUCUUCUUUCCGUUUUUGGGUCGCUCUUCUUAUCUGUCGUACCCCUAAUCCUCCUUCCAUCUUUUAAUCUCUUGUCCGUGAGCUCCUUAACAAAAAAAGCCUAAACUCCAGUAUAAUUUUCGUCUCUGAUCAGUGUCUUUUUCAGGACCCGAGGAUGGGGGAUUUAGGGAAGGAAAGAAAUGCCGAUGUUGCAAUUCCUCCCAUCCCGAUAAAGCGAAUCACCAGUGAUUCGAUAGUUCCAUUUUCUGUUAAUGCCGCUCAGGAACAAGAAAUGGAGCUAUUAAGUUAUGAUGUCGCUUUCCUUUUACUAGCUCUUUUUGGGUUCCCUAUCGAUGCGUAUAUGCCAUCGUCGAAGAAAGAAGGAGAAUCACAAGAAAUU
rnacentral:lncRNA from 1 species